UCCGUGCAGCUCCUGUCAGCUCCGUUCUGCUUACAGUGUAAGUCUCGAACACUGUAAGCAGAACGGAGCUGACAGAGGAGCUGCACGGAGGAGAA